rnacentral:rRNA from 1 species
ACGAAAAAUAACGAUACGGGACUCAUCCGAGGCCCCGUAAUCGGAAUGAGUACACUCUAAACCCUUUAACGAGGAUCAAUUGGAGGGCAAGUCUGGUGCCAGCAGCCGCGGUAAUUCCAGCUCCAAUAGCGUAUAUUAAAGUUGUUGCGGUUAAAAAGCUCGUAGUCGAAUUUGUGUCCCGCGCCGCCGGUUCAUCGCUCGCGGUGUCAACUGGCGUGUCCGCGGGACGUCCUGCCGGUGGGCUUAGCCCGAUCCCCGGGCGGCCCAAUCUCAAUCCCACCGCGGUGCUCUUCACUGAGUGUCGAGGUGGGCCGGCACGUUUACUUUGAACAAAUUAGAGUGCUUAAAGCAGGCUAAAACAUCGCCUGAAUACUGUGUGCAUGGAAUAAUGGAAUAGGACCUCGGUUCUAUUUUGUUGGUUUUCGGAACCCCGAGGUAAUGAUUAAUAGGAACGGAUGGGGGCAUUCGUAUUGCGACGUUAGAGGUGAAAUUCUUGGAUCGUCGCAAGACGGACAGAAGCGAAAGCAUUUGCCAAAAACGCUUUCAUUGAUCAAGAACGAAAGUUAGAGGUUCGAAGGCGAUCAGAUACCGCCCUAGUUCUAACCAUAAACGAUGCCAGCUAGCGAUCCGCCGACGUUCCUCCGAUGACUCGGCGGGCAGCUUCCGGGAAACCAAAGCUUUUGGGUUCCGGGGGAAGUAUGGUUGCAAAGCUGAAACUUAAAGGAAUUGACGGAAGGGCACCACCAGGAGUGGAGCCUGCGGCUUAAUUUGACUCAACACGGGAAACCUCACCAGGCCCGGACACCGGAAGGAUUGACAGAUUGAGAGC